CUUCCUGUUUAGGGUUUUCGCCUUUAACAAAGAUGGUGCUUGUGGGGCAGGUUCCCUAACAGUCAGGAUUCCGGUUGCAGUUUUUCUCCCCCGCCCCAAAGAUACGUGGUUGCAGACGGAGAAAUGGAGGCCAGAGACAAGCAAGUACUCCGCUCACUUCGCCUGGAGCUGGGUGCAGAGGUAUUAGUGGAGGGACUGGUUCUUCAGUACCUCUACCAGGAAGGAAUCUUGACGGAAAACCAUGUUCAAGAAAUCAACGCUCAAACCACAGGCCUCCGGAAAACAAUGCUCCUGCUGGAUAUCCUACCUUCCAGGGGCCCUAAAGCAUUCGAUGCAUUCCUAGAUUCCCUACAGGAGUUUCCCUGGGUCAGGGAGAAGCUGAAGAAGGCAAGGAAAGAGGCCAUGACCGACCUGCCUGCAGGUGACAGAUUGACUGGAAUCCCCUCGCACAUCCUCAACAGCUCCCCAUCAGACCGGCAGAUUAACCGGCUGGCCCAGAGGCUGGGCCCUGAGUGGGAGCCCGUGGUGCUGUCUCUGGGACUGUCCCAGACAGAUAUCUACCGCUGUAAGGCCAACCAUCCCCACAACGUGCAGUCGCAGGUGGUGGAGGCCUUCGUCCGUUGGCGGCAGCGCUUUGGGAAGCAGGCCACCUUCCAGAGCCUGCACAACGGGCUGCGGGCCGUGGAGGUGGACCCCUCGCUGCUCCUGCACAUGUUGGAGUGAUGGUGCCUCCACCAACCGCUGGGGAGUGAGUCCCUGAGUCAUGUGGCUGAAUCCUGACUACUCAGAGCAGGAACUCACUGUUUGACCGAUGAGACAAGACGUGAAGCUCUAAUUACAACAAGAUGCAAUCAAGCCUGUGCCUGAGUAUCGAGUCUAUGGGAGUGCAGAGGAGAAAUGAUUCGUUUGCCUGGCUUCUUGGGAAGCGAGAGCUUCUAGAAGAUGAAUCAAUUUUGUGAGGACUUGGCCAAUAUCAAGGUCUUCAGCACGACUCAUCAGCUCGUUGCUAAUCCAAGGACAACAAAUAACUACAAAUGCUGCUAUUGCAGUAGGAGGACAUUCAUUAAUAAGAAAUACCUCAAAGAAAAGGAAUGAGCCUGGCUUUUAUGGAGAACAAAGAGAGUCUUAAGGGAGCAUGAGGAAGGAUGGAGCCAUAAAGAAACUAAGACCCCCCAUCCCAGAGGGGUCCUACCCCAUACCUGGGAGGAAGGAAUGCUGCACGGAGAGGCCAAGAAGAAUCUGAACAGCCAGGCCUUGAGAUAAAGAAACUGACAUCCCUGGGGAAUGAAGCCUAGGUCCUCGUACCCCCCCACCCCAGUCUGGUGCUUUUUCCUCAGUGGCACAGUGGAAGGGUUGCUGAAUAUGUGUUCCCUCUGAGGCCGAUUGGAACCUUCCUCUUCACCAACUGAGUGAGAGGCAGGAGCCUGACAUUGCUGUUGGAAUUCAGCCACCCUGAGAGCCUCUGCACCCCGAGCUUUCUCCAAUUUCUGGGAUGGUACAGUGAUGGCAGGGCUUAAGAGUGCCCUAAGAAGGCCAGCUGCCUUCAAAAACAAGCUCCUUGAAGAUGGUGAAGCCACAUCUGAGGCUCCGUCCAACUCCAGAACCUAAGAGCCCUCCGGCCCUCCCCGCUCUUCCCACCUCCACCCCCGCUUCCCCUGCAGACUGCUGUCAUUCAUGGAUUGAGGAUUUUCAAAAAAUUGGGAUCUAAACAACAAAAUGGAUUUGGUUGCCACCAUUCUAUGAAACUUUUUUGUUGUUGUGGAUGAUUCAGAAAACCUUCAACAGCUUCUUUCGCCUCAGGAUCAAUGUGUUUGAGGGGGAGAGUCAUUGUAGGUCUAUAUGCAGACAAGUGAGGUUCCUUGAAUUAUAAACACCCUUAUUCCCAUCCCCACAGGUGGCAGGUCAGGUUGGCUUAACCCAAAGGGAGAAGCCUAUGUAGGCUGGGGGUAGGUGCGGUGAGACAGGAGGCCUCCCAAGGAGGGGCCUGUAGUAGUUGGGCCUGCCAUCACCGUGGAUGCCGUGGAAUUGAAAAGAUGAGACAAGCAGGACCCUCCUCUUAGGGACCUGUAGGGGAUGGACUGGUGGGAGAGGGUCAAGCAUGGAAAUAAAGGAAAACCUUGAGUCCCAUUAAGGGAAAUUCCAGGCACCUAGCUAGCCCUGAGGAGCUUAGCCCCAUGCUAAGACCCUAGCCCAGAUAAGCAACUUGAUAAGCAAGAAAGUAAUAGUAGUCUAAAACAGGCUGGGCAUGGUGGCUCAUGCCUGUAAUCCCAGCACUUUCGGAGGCUGAGUU